GGGACUCACCACAGAGGUGGGUAGGCCAUGCGUGCUGGCCACCUAGGGACUCCCAGGGAGCCCUGAGCCUGCGCCAGGCAAGAACGUCUGCUCUGCACAAACAGCUGGCCUGGUCAAGCACCAGCAAAGAGAGGAGGCAGGAGGACGUUGCCAUCUGCAGGUGCCUCCUGCAGACAAACCCACAGUGGAGCAGAUCACAGAGCAAAACUGAAGGCUCCUUUCCACCUUCUUCGGUGUGGGGUGGACUGAGGAAAGGGCAGAGGAAAAUGUCCAGGGUGUGGAAGGACAGAGUCUCACCAGAAACCUCAGAGUAGCAUCUACUCCACAGCCCUGAACAAGGCCCUACACAAACACUCCCAGGCCAAAGCACCAUGGCGG
rnacentral:lncRNA from 1 species